rnacentral:lncRNA from 1 species
GUGCCUGACACAUAGUAGACAUAAAUCAGGCUGAAGAAUGACCAUGAUGGAGAAUUGAGAAACAAGACCAUCUGCAUCAACAGGAAUUUGGUAGCUGAUCUAGGAAUGCAGCCUGAAGAAAUCAGCACCUCCUAGAUACAGAAUGAACAGAAGGGCUCAGAAGAAAUAUGAGGACAAAUAGGUAUGCUAGACUGAGGCAGAAGAGGCUUGAAUAUUGACUUCAUCUUUUAAGAUAACUCCCCAGGUAAGACAUGAUUCCAAGCAAUGGAGGAAGAACUUCAUCAGAAAAUGAAGUAGUGGAUAUGUCAGCUGACAAGGGAGGGACACAUAGGUGUGAAUAAGAGGUUGGAGUUUAAAGUAUUUUGUGUCUUCUGAAGCCUUUUAUUUAUACCUGUUCUAAUUUAUAGGGUCUUACUUUUUCUUCAUCAAUACCGUAACUUCCAUAUAAAAGGAAGUGGUGAAGCUAUAACUUCCGUGGACGUAAUUCAACAAAUUACUGCUGGAUGCAGUGGCUCACCCAUUUUGGGAGGCCAAGGCAGGAGGAUCACUUGAGUCUAGGAGUUUGAUACCAGCCCAGGCAACAUAGCAAGACUCCAUCUCUAAAAAAAAAAAAAAAUUAGCUGGACAUGGUGGCAUGCACCUGUAGUCUCAGUUACUUAGGAGGCUGGGGUGAGAGGAUCACUUGAGCCUGGGUGGUUGAGUCUGCAGUGAGCCAUGAUCAUGCCACUGCACUCCAACCUGGACAACAUAGUGAGACGCUGUCUUAAAAAAAAAAGAUAAAAAACCCACACAAAUUACUUGCCCACCCCCAAAGUUUGGGCUUUUUGCCACCUCUGCCCUGAAGUUUAACAGUGAAGCAAUUCUUUAGUACAUUCACAGAAAGCCUCUGGGUAUCAGUUUGUUCUUUUAGCCCAACAUUUGAGGAUAUGAGCUUAUCAUGUCCUCUCUUAUCUACUUAAUGCCACUGAAAAAAGCACCACACCAGGUCUUCAUGUUUUCAUACUUUCUUUGUUGCAGUGUGGCCUUCUGCAUCUUGCCUUCAAUGCUGUGGCCCCUCCUUAGGACCAAUUUUUGUUUUUCAGGUUUUCUAGUCACAAGCAAUAAAACUAAACCAAAUUUAAGCUGAAAAUGAGUUGAUUGGAA